GACGAACGCUGGCGGCGUGCUUAACACAUGCAAGUCGAGCGGUAAGGCCCUUUCGGGGGUACACGAGCGGCGAACGGGUGAGUAACACGUGGGUGACCUGCCCUCAGCUCUGGGAUAAGCCUGGGAAACCGGGUCUAAUACUGGAUAUGACUCCAUGACGCAUGUUGUGGGGUGGAAAGCCUUGUGCGGCUGAGGAUGGGCCCGCGGCCUAUCAGCUUGUUGGUGGGGUGANGGCCUACCAAGGCGACGACGGGUAGCCGGCCUGAGAGGGCGACCGGCCACACUGGGACUGAGACACGGCCCAGACUCCUACGGGAGGCAGCAGUGGGGAAUCUUGCGCAAUGGGCGAAAGCCUGACGCAGCGAUGCCGCGUGAGGGAUGACGGCC
rnacentral:rRNA from 1 species